UACGUAGGGUCCGAGCGUUGUCCGGAAUUACUGGGCGUAAAGAGCUCGUAGGUGGUUUGUCGCGUUGUUCGUGAAAACUCACAGCUUAACUGUGGGCGUGCGGGCGAUACGGGCAGACUUGAGUACUGCAGGGGAGACUGGAAUUCCUGGUGUAGCGGUGGAAUGCGCAGAUAUCAGGAGGAACACCGGUGGCGAAGGCGGGUCUCUGGGCCUGUACUGACGCUGAGGAGCGAAAGCGUGGGGGAGCGAACAGG
rnacentral:rRNA from 1 species